GUAGACAUAGUUUUAACAAAAACAUUAGAUUGUGAUUCUAAAAAUAGGGGCUAAUAUCCCCUUGUCCACC
rnacentral:tRNA from 1 species